AGGUAUUUGGUGCCUCUUUUCUUGUUUCCUUAACAUAAAUAUUUGAUUAUUACAUCCCUAGGACUAAAGUACUAAUUUUUCUGACUAAAAUGAUACCAUAAAAGUUGAUGGUCACAGCAUUGGAAUUCCGUGUAAUUGUUUGUGAAAAGUGGAUAUUUUCGCGCGACCAGAGCCUGGCUCCUGCUGCCUGCCUCGAGCGACGGUUGAAACACGCCGAGCCCACGCAGGAGUCCGUGCGGAGAGGGGAUGGCCCUUCCUGAAGGCGCAGGAGGGGAAGUUGUUGGACGAUAACGCGCGCUUAUCUGCGCGAGGUUCCAAACUCACGUCCUGGUAAUUUAAUAUAGCCGUUGUCAUUCAGAGCGCCAGUAGAAGCUGUUGGGUCGAUUUAUUCUGUUAAUAUUUCCUUCCCGGGAUUUGUAAAUUUAUUUGCCUUUAGCGUGCGGUAAAACGUGUUGUGGUAAAACGUCACAAAAAUGGAAGAGAAACGAGACAAGAGAAUUGGCAAGUCGGGACAUUUAUGGUUAAGUGCUCGACGAAAGAAAAGGAAAGCAACGGCGGCGAUCGCAUACCAGCAAGAAAGGAAAAAGAAAAGACUUCAAGAACACUCGAAAAUUCCAGAGGAGAAUACUUCGACAGUAAUCAAUAAGGGAAACGAGGAAUGGUCGGCACCUUCUACAAGUCGUAGUGAAAGCGGAAUUCUCAAUUUGAUAACUGGAACAAAAAUCUUGCAGUACGAAGAGAAUCAUCAUAACAGUCAAGAUGUAGAUCUGCAGGAAGUACUUUCUGAAAAGCCCGUGACACAAACAAUAGUUCGAGACAACCUGAAUUCCAAAUCAUAUACUUGUCUACAGCCAGUUUCGAUACUACACGAGUCUGGAUGCACAUUCUGGGAAAGACAUGAAGAUGUUGCGGAAUUACAAUGCCCAGCUAGUGUCCCAACAUGUGGUGUCUCCGAAGCACCUCAGAAUACACAAGAGGUACGUUUUCUCCAUUUAAUUAAUACAGAAAAGAAUGUACAUAUUCUGCAUUAUGAUCUAGUACAGAAUUCACGAGUGAAGUAGAGGCAAUGGAAUACGAUAUUGGACUGAAGAUUUGAAAAAUUUCCAGC